CUCUCUCUCUCUCUCUCUCUCUCUCUCUCUCUCUCUCUCUCUCUCUCUCAUUAGGAGUCAGGCAUUUGGUAGUUCAGUGCAAUAUCGAUCCAGCAGCCUCAUCAAAGUGCGAGGUGCAGUUACAGGAGUGGAAUGUGGACAGCUCAAUCCUAAAACAUCACAUGGACAGAAACGCAUACAUCACUACAAUCACAAGCUGAACGACAGACAGCCACAUAUCCACAUCCCUCCCUCUGGUUCUGAAGUCUGCACGCUGGCCUGUAUUUAAAUAAAGCCACGCACUGACUGCUGCGGAGUGGAGAGGCCUUUGUGUGUCUCCAAGAUAAGAGAUGACCACUCUGCAGAAGCCAGGGAUUAAAGAGCGCUCUUGAAGGGAUAAUGUCACUAACGCUGAUCCUGGGCCAGAGAGACCAGACAGCAUCAAACCUCAGGCCACCUGCUGAACCGGAAUUUCGCUGACCCAAGAUCUGACACUGCAGGACUGGAUGGAUCGUGUGCUCCAGGGACGUCAGAGAACGGCUAAAAAGGAAGCAAGUGUAGAUAAUAAUGCUGUGAAUCCAGAGCCUUUUUCUCUGUAAAGUGAACAAAAUGACAUAGUUGGUGUACAAAGUUUGCUUCACUGAAGCUUUAAGGCUAAUAUAGCUAAUAUACCGUAUUACCAUUGUGCAAACUGCAUGCCUAAAUUAAGAUCGUAGUCAGGUCGGGCACUGAUGUUGAGUGAUAAGGCCUGCAGUCUGCAUUCCAAUUCAUGCCAAAGGUGUUCAGUGGAGUUGAGGUCAUUGCUCUGUGCAAGUUCUUCCAUAUCUAAUUCUGCACAAUGCAUCUGUAUGUUGUAGCAGAUAUGUGUAGAAAAUUUCCCUUCACUGGAAAUAAGUGGUCAAACUCAAACAAUGAAAACAGUAUGUAGUGUGCAUUACAACAGGUAGUGUUCACCUGCAUCCACCAAACCCAGACACAUCCUUUAAACUGCCAGAAUGCAUUUCACGAGUCCAACAACAGCUUUACACAAUUCCAGCUGACACUUAGCAUUGCACAUGGCUUGGAUACAGCUGCUGUCCAUGAAGCUCCUUAUGAACAGUUUGUGUACUGACGUUGCUUCCAGAGGCAGUUUAGAAUCAGUAGUGAGUGCUGCAACUAAGGAUUGGUUUCAUUCUGCAAGUGAUUGUAGCUCCUAGAUAUUUCUACUUCACAAUAGUAGCAUUUACAGUUGACUAGGGCAGCUCUAGCAGGACAGAAAACUGAAGCAAUGACUUGGAAGAGUGGCAUCCUAUGAUGGUGCCAUAUUGAAAUUCACUAAGCCCUUCAUUACAACCCAUUCUACUGCCAAUAUUAAUCUAUAGAAAUGACUGUGUGCUUGACUUUAUGCACCUGUUAGCAAAAGGUGUUACUGAAAUAGCCAAUUGCACUGAUAAGCUGCAGUGGCCACAUAUUUGGUCAUGUAUUAUGCUUUGCAGCUCCAGUGCAAAACAUUAGAGAUCAGUCUUGGCUGACUGACUACAUUUAGGGUAAGGUGGAAGUUGAUAUUUGGCCAAACCAUCAUUUAAAUUAUUUAUUAUAAUCUUCCAAUAGAUCUCACUUAUAAGGAAUAAUCAGCUGUAUAUCAAUAAUCAGGGAAAAGUAUUUGUUUCCCUCCUGUUGAGUGAAUGAGUAAUGUGUUGGGAAUGGUUUAAGGGGAGCAGAUGCAGAUAGCUGUAGACAGAUGUUAUGAAUUCUAGAGCCCCCUGUUGGUAGUUUGUGAAGGUUCACGCCUAGCCUGCCAUUUCAUUUCUUCAAAGUAAAGCCAGUUGCUUUCUCAGUACUAUGUCUAGCAACCAGCAACCACAUUAAAUCAAGAUCCACUGGCAAUUUUGUUUAUCGAAUUCACACAUUGCUAUGACACAUUUGUUGGGGGCAUGCAUGCCUUGCUGGCGCCAUAUGCUGGAGUUCAAUGUUCAGUAUAACAUCUGAAAGAAAAGUCAUAAAUAACAGGCUGCCUAA